UUAUCGUUUAUUUGAUAGUACCUUACUACUUGGAUAACCGUGGUAAUUCUAGAGCUAAUACAUGCUAAAAAUCCCGACUUCGGAAGGGAUGUAUUUAUUAGAUUAAAAACCAAUGCCCUCUGGGCUCACUGGUGAUUCAUAAUAACUUCUCGAAUCGCAUGGCCUUGCGCCGGCGAUGGUUCAUUCAAAUUUCUGCCCUAUCAACUUUCGACGGCUGGGUCUUGGCCAGCCAUGGUGACAACGGGUAACGGAGGGUUAGGGCUCGACCCCGGAGAAGGAGCCUGAGAAACGGCUACUACAUCCAAGGAAGGCAGCAGGCGCGCAAAUUACCCAAUCCCGACACGGGGAGGUAGUGACAAUAAAUACUGAUACAGGGCUCUUUUGGGUCUUGUAAUUGGAAUGAGUACAAUUUAAAUCCCUUAACGAGGAACAAUUGGAGGGCAAGUCUGGUGCCAGCAGCCGCGGUAAUUCCAGCUCCAAUAGCGUAUAUUAAAGUUGUUGCAGUUAAAAAGCUCGUAGUUGAACCUUGGGCCUGGCUGGCCGGUCCGCCUCACCGCGUGCACUGGUCCGGCCGGGCCUUUCCCUCUGGGGAACCGCAUGCCCUUCACUGGGUGUGUCGGGGAACCAGGACUUUUACUUUGAAAAAAUUAGAGUGUUCAAAGCAGGCCUAUGCUCGAAUACAUUAGCAUGGAAUAAUAGAAUAGGACGUUGCGGUUCUAUUUUGUUGGUUUCUAGGACCGCCGUAAUGAUUAAUAGGGACAGUCGGGGGCAUCAGUAUUCAAUUGUCAGAGGUGAAAUUCUUGGAUUUAUUGAAGACUAACUACUGCGAAAGCAUUUGCCAAGGAUGUUUUCAUUAAUCAGGAACGAAAGUUAGGGGAUCGAAGACGAUCAGAUACCGUCGUAGUCUUAACCAUAAACUAUGCCGACUAGGGAUCGGACGAUGUUAUUUU
rnacentral:rRNA from 1 species